rnacentral:rRNA from 1 species
AUUGAACGCUGGCGGCAUGCCUUACACAUGCAAGUCGAACGGUAACGGGCCUUCGGGUGCCGACGAGUGGCGAACGGGUGAGUAAUACAUCGGAACGUGCCCGAUCGUGGGGGAUAACGAGGCGAAAGCUUUGCUAAUACCGCAUACGAUCUACGGAUGAAAGCAGGGGACCGCAAGGCCUUGCGCGGACGGAGCGGCCGAUGGCAGAUUAGGUAGUUGGUGGGAUAAAAGCUUACCAAGCCGACGAUCUGUAGCUGGUCUGAGAGGAUGAUCAGCCACACUGGGACUGAGACACGGCCCAGACUCCUACGGGAGGCAGCAGUGGGGAAUUUUGGACAAUGGGCGCAAGCCUGAUCCAGCCAUGCCGCGUGCAGGAUGAAGGCCUUCGGGUUGUAAACUGCUUUUGUACGGAACGAAAAGCCUUCCUUUAAUACAGGAGGGUCAUGACGGUACCGUAAGAAUAAGCACCGGCUAACUACGUG